rnacentral:rRNA from 1 species
GGGAAUUCAGCUGAUGAGCAUGAUUUGUGCCUGGGCAUAUUGACCGCCUUUCAGUGUCUGCUUAACUGCGGGUGCCUGCCUCUGGUGGGUAUGUGUGGUGCGCUUAUCAUGUGCCGCACGCAUUGGAGGGUGUAUGAGUCUGCUUGUCGGUGCACUUUCUCAGGGUGUUCACCACGACCGGCACUGCUGUCUGUCUGCUUUGGUCAAACUGAUCAGGUCUGAUUAACGUUGGGCUUGGUUGGGUUGGCAGGUGACUCACUGGUCCACUCUGUGGGCUAUGAGUGUUACUAGCCGGCUAUAGUGGAUCUGUACGGUGUGUCGGAGACGGCGGCUUUGCAUAUGCGCUCUGUCCUUCAGGCGUGGUUGAGUCUGGUCGACUUGUUGCUAGUUUCGGCUGGUCAGUUGAUGGCUUGAUCAUGUUCAGUUGGCAGUGGUGUGUGUGUCUUAGUUUGGGCCAAUAGUCUGUGGUGUUGUGGUAGACUAUCCACCUGACCCGUCUUGAAACACGGACCAAGGAGUUUAACAUGUGCGCGAGUCAUUGGGCUUUACGAAACCCAAAGGCGCAGUGAAGGUAAAGGUUUGGCUUGUCCAGGCUGAGGUGAGAUCCUGUUGUUUUGCUCAUUAAUUCCAAGCUGCGAGCAGCAGGCGCAUCACCGGCCCGUCCCAUGACGUAGACAUGUGGCCUUGUGCUAUGUGCACCGUCGGGGCGGAGCAAGAGCGUACAUGUUGAGACCCGAAAGAUGGUGAACUAUGCUUGCGAAGGUUGAAGCCAGAGGAAACUCUGGUGGAGGACCGUAGCGAU